rnacentral:rRNA from 1 species
UCUAAGCACAAGCCCAAGAAUGGUAAAGCCGCGAAUGGCUCAUUACAACAGCCAUAGUUUACUGGAUCUUACAUUCCUACUUGGAUAACUGUGGUAAUUCUAGAGCUAAUACACGCACGAAAGCUCUGACCUUACGGAAGGAGCGCAUUUAUUAGAACAAAACCAAUCGGACCGCAAGGUCCGCCAAUUGGUGAAUCUGAAUAACUUUGCCGAUCGCAUGGUCUCGUACCGGCGACGUAUCUUUCAAAUGUCUGCCUUAUCAACUUUAGAUGGUAGUUUACACGCCUACCAUGGUUGUAACGGGUAACGGAGAAUAAGGGUUCGACUCCGGAGAGGGAGCCUGAGAAAUGGCUACCACA